UGGGGAAUUUUGGACAAUGGGCGCAAGCCUGAUCCAGCCAUGCCGCGUGCGGGAAGAAGGCCUUCGGGUUGUAAACCGCUUUUGUCAGGGAAGAAAUCUUCUGAGUUAAUACCUCGGGAGGAUGACGGUACCUGAAGAAUAAGCACCGGCUAACUACGUGCCAGCAGCCGCGGUAAUACGUAGGGUGCAAGCGUUAAUCGGAAUUACUGGGCGUAAAAGCGUGCGCAAGGCGGUUUUGUAAGACAGAGGUGAAAUCCCCGGGCUCAACCUGGGAACUGCCUUUGUGACUGCAAGGCUUGAGUGCGGCAGAGGGGGAUGGAAUUCCGCGUGUAGCAGUGAAAAUGCGUAGAUAUGCGGAGGAACACCGAUGGCGAAAGGCAAUCCCCUGGGCCUGCACUGACGCUCAUGCACGAAAACGUGGGGAGCAAAACAGGAUUAG
rnacentral:rRNA from 1 species